UACGUAGGCAGCAAGCGUUGUCCGGAUUUAUUGGGUUUAAAGGGUGCGUAGGCGGCCCUGUAAGUCAGUGCUGAAAUAUCCCGGCUUAACCGGGAGGGUGGCAUUGAUACUGCGGGGCUAGAGUACAGAUGAGGUAGGCGGAAUUGACGGUGUAGCGGUGAAAUGCUUAGAUAUCGUCAAGAACACCUAUAGCGAAGGCAGCUUACUAGGCUGUAACUGACGCUGAGGCACGAAAGUGUGGGGAUCAAACAGG
rnacentral:rRNA from 1 species